UUCUGUGUCUCCUACCUCUGCAUGGAGACACUGACCUUUCCUCAUAGAGAUGCAUUGAUUCAAUGUAUCUCUAUGAAGAGAUGCGGAUUGGCCAGCGCUGUGUUUGACUUGUGCUGGCUCUACCCCUGAUCUGCCUCCUUGACAGUCUCCACCAAUACUGUGGGAAAGCAUUGUGAUUGUCUUAGAACAAUAAUUCUGAUGAUGUCAGCCAAAUAGGCAGAUCAGGGGCAGAGCCAGCAGCUGCGGACUUGAACAAAAGUAA